AGAACCGUGCCCGAGCGCCAAGGGAUCACUUUGAUAGAGUGAAUUACAGGGGUUAAAAUCCCCUCAGUUCUU
rnacentral:tRNA from 1 species